AUUGAACGCUGGCGGCAUGCUUUACACAUGCAAGUCGAACGGCAGCGGGGAGGAGCUUGCUUCUCUGCCGGCGAGUGGCGAACGGGUGAGUAAUACAUCGGAACGUGUCGAUAAGAGUGUGAUAACCACCCGAAAGUGUUGCUAAUACCGCAUAAAUUCUGAGGAAGAAAGCUGGGGACCUAGGAAUAGGCCUCUCGCUUUUUUAUCGGCCUAUGUCGGAUUAGCGAGUUGUUUUGGUAAAGGCUCACCAAGGCGAAGAUCUGUAUCGGGUCUGAGAGGAUGAUCAGCCACACUGGGACUGAGACACGGCCCAGACUACGACGGGAGGCAGCAGUGGGGAAUUUUGGACAAUGGGGGCAACCAUGAUACAGCCAUGCCGCGUGUAUGAAGAAGGACUUAGGGUUGUAAAGUACUUUUGUUAGGGAAGAAAAGUAAGCUGUGAAUAAUGGCUGAUACUGACGGUACCUAAAGAAUAAGCACCGGCUAACUACGUG
rnacentral:rRNA from 1 species